rnacentral:rRNA from 1 species
GAUGAACGCUGGCGGCGUGCCUAAUACAUGCAAGUCGAGCGAACGGACGAGAAGCUUGCUUCUCUGAUGUUAGCGGCGGACGGGUGAGUAACACGUGGAUAACCUACCUAUAAGACUGGGAUAACUUCGGGAAACCGUAGCUAAUACCGGAUAAUAUUUUGAACCGCAUGGUUCAAAAGUGAAAGACGGUCUUGCUGUCACUUAUAGAUGGAUCCGCGCUGCAUUAGCUAGUUGGUAAGGUAACGGCUUACCAAGGCAACGAUGCAUAGCCGACCUGAGAGGGUGAUCGGCCACACUGGAACUGAGACACGGUCCAGACUCCUACGGGAGGCAGCAGUAGGGAAUCUUACGCAAUGGGCGAAAGCCUGACGGAGCAACGCCGCGUGAGUGAUGAAGGUCUUCGGAUCGUAAAACUCUGUUAUUAGGGAAGAACAUAUGUGUAAGUAACUGUGCACAUCUUGACGGUACCUAAUCAGAAAGCCACGGCUAACUACGUG